UACGGAGGAUGCGAGCGUUAUCCGGAUUUAUUGGGUUUAAAGGGUCCGUAGGCGGCCGAGUAAGUCAGCGGUGAAAUUUUGCAGCUUAACUGUAACAGUGCCGUUGAUACUGCAUGGCUAGGAUUUGGUUGCUGUGGGUGGAAUGUGUGGUGUAGCGGUGAAAUGCUUAGAGAUCACACAGAAUAUCGAUUGCGAAGGCAGCUCACAAAGCCAAGAUUGACGCUGAGGCACGAAAGUGUGGGGAUCAAACA
rnacentral:rRNA from 1 species